GAUGAACGCUGGCGGCGUGCCUAAUACAUGCAAGUCGAGCGAACGGACGAGAAGCUUGCUUCUCUGAUGUUAGCGGCGGACGGGUGAGUAACACGUGGAUAACCUACCUAUAAGACUGGGAUAACUUCGGGAAACCGGAGCUAAUACCGGAUAAUAUUUUGAACCGCAUGGUUCAAAAGUGAAAGACGGUCUUGCUGUCACUUAUAGAUGGAUCCGCGCUGCAUUAGCUAGUUGGUAAGGUAACGGCUUACCAAGGCAACGAUGCAUAGCCGACCUGAGAGGGUGAUCGGCCACACUGGAACUUAGACGCGGUCGAGACUCCUACGGGAGGCAGCAGUAGGGAAUCUUCCGCAAUGGGCGAAAGCCUGACGGAGCAACGCCGCGUGAGUGAUGAAGGUCUUCGGAUCGUAAAACUCUGUUAUUAGGGAAGAACAUAUGUGUAAGUAACUGUGCACAUCUUGACGGUACCUAAUCAGAAAGCCACGGCUAACUACGUG
rnacentral:rRNA from 1 species